rnacentral:lncRNA from 1 species
AACUACCUGCAGGUGAAAGCAUGUCCCUUGUGUCAUAAUGCUCUACUGUCUGACUCAACAGAACAGGAACACAAGCAUACUGAGAACACCCUUGCACUCUGUGCGGUUAAAAUCUUUGCCAAGUGGGACAAAAGAUAGUGGACAGAAGCAUGUUUGAAACGGAACAACGUAUUGACUUUGGAAGAAAACAUGCUGGGUCCAGUCUACAUAGAAGGUAGGCACAAUGGUGCCACUUCAGUGCAAGUCUCAAUGGAACUAUCUGGAAUCUUGGGUAAAUGCCUUCAACUCCCUAGUACCUACUUCAGUUUCUUGAGUCACUGGGUCAUUGUAAGGAUUAAAUGAGAUAAUGCGUAUAGAAGUGCAUUGUGAAGAGUAAUGUUAGUGUCUCUUCUAUACCAGGC